GCUACACCUGCUGCUCGGUCUGUGGCUCUUUGUCAUAUUCAAAGUAAAACAAGAGAGUCAGAGAAAGCUGAGGGUGGUGAGUCGAAACACUCAGGAGAGCAAGACAGUUUGGGAGGUGAUACAGCAGCAUCAAGCCAAAGACAAGAGGAUACAAACUACACGACAUAUGAGGUGUUGAUGUCACCGCCUUGACGAAUAGAAGAAAAGCCUGUAUUUGGGUGCAGUGAGAGACAGACAGGAAACGGGGGAGAAGAGUCGGGGGAAGACAUGCAGCAAAGGGCCACAAGCGGGACUCGAACCCGGACCGCUGCGUCGGGGACCAGACUCUGUACAUCGGUCACCCGCUUAACCCGUUGAGCUACCUGGGGACCCAUGCUUUGUCUUUUUAAAGACCAAAGAACUACAGACUCUUCACAACCUGCUCAAACUCUUGGUACAGGACCUCACCACACGGGUCAAGAAGGUUUCCGUCUCAUUUCUACUCUGAAACUCACCUUCUCCUGCUCAAACUGCUGACAAAUGUUUCUGCUGCUCUAAAGUCUGGUCUCCAGAACUUCCUAAAAACUCUCAAAGUCUCUUCUGCUGCAGGUUGCUUUGUAGAACUGUUCCAGAAAACCUCACUAAACCACAUGGAGGGGCCUCAAGAUAGUCGUUCAAAUGAAACUGUACAAAAACCAAACUAGCACAACCCAAACGCUAAAGUCUCCUGCAGCCUACCAGAGAAGCUCUGAGAACAGAGAAUCAGGACAGGAACUCUUACCUUCUGGACAACCAACCUUGGUUCUCAAACAAGAACACAGAAUGCGUCUGACCAAAAACCUCUAAAGACUCACUACAGCCAAGAUAAAGACACAACUCAGCUGCACCAAACCCACUAAUCACUGCACACAUUAGCACCAUGUGCUAACUGUGGCUAAAGAACCACAUUUACCAAGACAACUAUCUGGUACAAAGCCCUAAAACACACCAAGAAACACAUUAAAGACAAUUUUACUGCUGGAAGCUGCAAGCCAACGCCUAAAGAACAAGCUAAAGCAACGGAGCCAAACCCAGGUGAAGAGAAUCAGAGGAAAUGUUUGUCUGCAGCUAAAUAAAGCAGGAAGACACUGAGCUGCUCAGGUGUUCCUGAUAACACCAAGCAGCCACCUGGACAGCCAAUAGGAACACAGCUUACUGGAAGUCCAGAGGGCUGGCUUAGUGAAGGAAAUUUAGUUUAAAGUUGAAGCAGAAAGUUAACAAAGAAAGUUGAAAACCACCUUCUGUUACCUGAAAUCUCUGAGUUUUCACACAAAGAACACCUGAACAUGUCAAACUGGUUCCAUAGUAGAACCAUCAUUGUAAAAAUGUCAUAGUAUGGUGUGUUGUUCAAAAAACAUUAGGACCCGGCUGUCAGGGGACAAACAUGUAAGAAACAUGAGAACAGAGAGAACCCAACCAGUAGGUCACAGUUUAUCAUCAUCUAAUCAUCUCCUGAAGUCCAUAUGGUGAGAGACAUCAGUAUCUGGUUGUUCAUUUACCAGAGGAUGCUUAUAAUCAUGCUGAUGUGGUCUGUACUCUACAGUAUUUUAGUGACUCAAUAAAUGCCUGAGUUGUUUUUUUUUAAAUGCUUUAUAGUUUUUAAUAAACAUUUAAUAGCCUAUAUGUAAUCAAUAAAUGGCCUUUGCCUUAAGAAAAAUUCACUCAGAACUCUGAUAUGUUAACAGUACUAAAUAAAUCAAUAAAUACAUGCAUACACACAAAAAUAAGUUAAUACAUUAACUGUGUUAAGAUUUAGAGUUUUUUUAAAAAGUUGUUUAUGUUUUUGCAGAAUCCAGUAUUGCUCACUGGUUGGUCAUUACAUUUUAUUAGUUUGAUUUCACAGUUUAAAAUGAUGCCACCUCUUUUCAGACAGAACCUGUGAUAAUAAAUCAAUACAAAAUUUUUAGUUCCGUGUUAAUAAAGCACUUAAAGCUUUAAGUAUGGCUAAAUGCUUUUUUCAAAAUUAAAUAUAUCACUCCUUAGGUGGUAGUGGCCCCAAGUUCAGUAAAGUUGGAAAGAUAUUCACAGAUUCAGACUUCCAGCAUCAAUAACUCAUUAGAUAUAGGUUGUCAAAACAUAAACGGUGCCUCUUUCCCAUUGUUGCAAGGCAGACAAUGUGCUACAAGCCCAGUUUUAUCAAAAGUAGCUGUCUUUCAAGCUACAGGAAUAACAUUGGUGUCUAUGGAGUGAACAGGGUCCGUCUGCAAUUUGCAAAACCGCUGCAACAGUAAAGAGAGACAAAUAUUCAAUAACUUCACUCUUAUACAUUGUAGUGUCACUAAAAUCACUGCAGCCUUCAACUGGCUCCUGUUGACAAAGUGUUUUAACAGAAAUGUAAAUGCUGUAAUUUGAUUCUUUUAAUGAACCAUGUAACUUGAAUGGAUGUGAUGCUGGUGUGACCACAGUGCACACGUCUGAUGUUGCUCACAGUGGUCCAAGGGACGCUCAGGGAGUUUGUGUGUUUGCUCACACUCAGGAAAAAUUACAGGGAACAUUGGAUACCACCAGUACCUGCAUCACAUCACAGCUAACAAAGGAGAAGAAAUGUCAGGUAGAGUGCAGGAAGUGUUAGAAAGGAGGGUUCUUUCCACAGGGUGCAGCAGCUGUGGAUUGGAUGAACCAUGUGCCAAGAGACAUGGACAUAUCUGUGCACCAACCAUAGGGAGAACUGAGUCUAAACCAUGGUUCAUCCCCACCUCCUAGCCAUUCACAUUUCAUCAUUUGAAUUAUAUGUGUAUAUAGCCAAUCACAUUGCACCAUGUAGAAUAAAAUGUUGUGUUCAUAUCAAACUUCAUCCUUCUCUGGGAGGCUGCUCCAAACAGAAGACUUCCUUGUACAAGAUUUUUUGAGACAAUGAUAUCAGAAAAUAAACAGCUUAAUUUGAGAGAA